GGCCAAUGAUGAAUUCUGGCAUGUACUGCCUGAAUUUACUGCUGAACUCCACGUACACUUUAGCUCUAGAAUUCUGCUGGGACACU
ensembl:snoRNA